rnacentral:pre_miRNA from 1 species
AUUGUACUCCCUCCGUCUGGAAAUACUUGUCAUCAAAAUGAAUAAAAGGGAAUGUAUCUAGAUGUAUAUUAGUUCUAGAUACAUCUCUUUUUAUCCAUUUUGAUGACAAGUAUUUUCGGACGGAGGGAGUACCUA